GGUAGGAUGGCUGAAGUCUAAGCGGUGGUUUGUAGCUCCAUAUAUGGGGGUUUGAAUCCCCCUCCUGCCA
rnacentral:tRNA from 1 species